rnacentral:lncRNA from 1 species
GGAAUUACUAGCCUAAUUUUCAUGUCUUAAUUACUUAUUUAGUUAAUCUACAAAAAACCCCCAACAUUUCUGUGUUACUCUCAUUCCUGGUUUGAUCUCUGUUCUCUCCAAGUGCUUGGAAUGAAAAAAAUGUCACUGAGAUUUCCAUAGCACCGUAUGUUUUACCACAUUAUUGACAGAGGGCAUGAUUGCCGUCAUACGAACGAGCUAGCCAGGGCUCUGGACUUUCUCUCCUGCAUUUUCUCUUCUUUAAGAAAAGUUUUGGUAAUCCAAGAAACAACCUUCAGUGAAAGUGGGGGACUAUCCCCAGCAUUAAGCUGAGGAAGUUGAACAAAGGACAGCUGAACUGAAUGGCAGCGAGUGGGAAAGGCACGAUGCAAAGUUGCACUGCGCGCACGGCCAUGCACAGACUUUUUGCUCCCAGCGUGGAUCUUCUUGACUUCAGACCAUCCUUAUCCUCCAGGGCUGAUUCAUGUGACACAAUUUCUGGUAUUCGGUCUCGCUUUUCUGGAUCCCACGGGGAAGUGGUGGGCAGAAGGACCCUGAUCUCGUUUCCAAAAGCAUUCAAUCAGCAGCAGUCAACGGGGCCACCCGUGUGUUCAAAGUUAAGCAUAUGCUUAAGUCUCUUGCUGAAUUACCCCCCUGAGGACUUCAGUUUGCCUUUAUGCUAUGUUUUCUUGCUCUUCAAAUACGACUGCAUCCCUUCCGGAUAACGUGGCACACGCUUUGAGGAGCAGUUCAGAUUGGAAGGAGGUAGUAACAGGAGGUCUCACCAGGCAAGCAGGUGAGCUGCUGCAGAUGUAUUCUCUUUUUCAUUCUUUUUUUUCUGUCUAGAAAGAUUUGGGUGAAUAAAUUCCACUUCCA